GAUGAACGCUGGCGGCGUGCUUAACACAUGCAAGUCGAACGAAGCACUUUUGAUUGAUUUCCUCGGAAAGAUUUCACUUGUGACUGAGUGGCGGACGGGUGAGUAACGCGUGGGUAACCUGCCUCAUACAGGGGGAUAACAGUUAGAAAUGACUGCUAAUACCGCAUAAGCGCACGGUAUCGCAUGAUACAGUGUGAAAAACUCCGGUGGUAUGAGAUGGACCCGCGUCUGAUUAGCUAGUUGGUGGGUAACGGCCUACCAAGGCGACGAUCAGUAGCCGACCUGAGAGGGUGACCGGCCACAUUGGGACUGAGACACGGCCCAAAUCCUGCGGAGGCAGCAGUGGGGAAUAUUGCACAAUGGGCAAAGCCUGAUGCAGCGACGCCGUCGUGAACGAAGAGAUUCGGAUGUAAAGUUCUAUCAGCAGGGAANAU
rnacentral:rRNA from 1 species